rnacentral:rRNA from 1 species
UACAGAGGUCCCAAGCGUUGUUCGGAUUCAUUGGGCGUAAAGGGUGCGUAGGCGGCGCGGUAAGUCGGGUGUGAAAUCUCGGAGCUUAACUCCGAAACUGCAUUCGAUACUGCCGUGCUUGAGGACUGGAGAGGAGACUGGAAUUUACGGUGUAGCGGUGAAAUGCGUAGAUAUCGUAAGGAAGACCAGUGGCGGAAGGCGGGGUCUCUGGACAGUUCCUGACGCUGAGGCACGAAGGCCAGGGGAGCAAACGGG